AACGAGUUGUUUUAUUGCGUCUAUGACUUGAAUCUUAUAAUCAGUUGUAGUGAUGGGAAGUUCGGAUCAUUUUACCGAAUCGGACUUUUGAGUCUCGUUCAGCAAAAUGAACGAAUCUUUUUUCGAGUCAUUUCAAAUGAACGAACAACCAGAAGGUUCAGGAAGAAAAAAAACAAAGUGCUUGCAGUCUGUUUCACAUUAGGAGGCAUUUUGCUGCAUAAUCGAUCCACCACGAACCAUAUGCAACUAUGGAAGCUCAACUUCCAUUAAAUGGACUGAAAACGCUCAAGAGACACUUUGACAAGUGGGCACUGGAUGCUGAGUAUUGAAGGCGAGGUGGUGUGUGAGGGCACUCAGCCCAGUUUCCUGUCCGGCCUUGCCACUCUGUUUGCUGCUUAUUACUAGUUUAAUCUUGAGUAUCAGGAGGAAGCAGUGUGUACCUUGGAGUUCAUUCAAAGGUGCUUUGUGGGCAUAAAUCCAGAGAGAGGACCCAAAGCCAAGGGAAAAGUGCCAUCGAAAUAAAAACAGGACAAGUGAUACAGAAGAAAAUGUGUGGCAGUCAACCCACAUGUUGCCACUCUUCUGUGCAAAUUCCAAUGGAAUUUCUGAAAUUCACACUUUGAAUCCUGGGAUGGAACUUCAUCUGGAGCAUAAUUGUUAUUUGGUUGAUUUUUAUCUGUUUGAUGGAAAGUUUGUAUGACUUCUGCAAGUGCGCGGCUCCUUCCGGUCAGUCAUGCAUCACUUUUUUUUGUAUGACUUGUUUGGCAAUAUUGGUCUAUUCCUUAAUGAUGAUAGCUAUCUGAAAAUGUCUUUGUGGUUUUUAAAGGAUUAGUUCACCCAAAAAUGAAAAUUAAGUCAAUAAUUACUUAUGUCGUUUCACACCCGUAAGAUCUUCGUUCAUCCUCACAACACAUAAUAAGAUGUGGCUCAGUGAAGCGUGCAUUUCUAGCAAGAUCAUUUCUUUUUUUCAAUGCCCAGAAAGCCUCUAAAACAUUUAAAACA